CUGUCUCUUGUUUCAGCCGUGUUUGGACGGAACAC
rfam:Myotis brandtii contig293973, whole genome shotgun sequence.